GAUGAACGCUAGCGGCAGGCUUAAUGCAUGCAAGUCGAGGGGCAGCAUGAAUGUAGCAAUACAUUUGAUGGCGACCGGCAAACGGGUGCGGAACACGUACACAACCUUCCUAUAAGUGGGGAAUAGCCCAGAGAAAUUUGGAUUAAUACCCCGUAACAUAAUGAUGUGGCAUCACAUUAUUAUCAUAGCUACGGCGCUUAUUGAUGGGUGUGCGGCUGAUUAGAUAGUUGGCGGGGUAACGGCCCACCAAGUCUACGAUCAGUAGCUGAUGUGAGAGCAUGAUCAGCCACACGGGCACUGAGACACGGGCCCGACUCCUACGGGAGGCAGCAGUAAGGAAUAUUGGUCAAUGGACGCAAGUCUGAACCAGCCAUGCCGCGUGAAGGAUUAAGGUCCUCUGGAUUGUAAACUUCUUUUAUCUGGGACGAAAAAGGCUAUUCUUAGUCACUUGACGGUACCAGAUGAAUAAGCACCGGCUAACUCCGUGCCAGCCGCCGCUGUAACAC
rnacentral:rRNA from 1 species